rnacentral:rRNA from 1 species
UCCUACGGGAGGCAGCAGUGAGGAAUAUUGGUCAAUGGGCGCGAGCCUGAACCAGCCAAGUAGCGUGAAGGAUGACUGCCCUACGGGUUGUAAACUUCUUUUAUAAAGGAAUAAAGUGAGGCACGUGUGCCUUUUUGUAUGUACUUUAUGAAUAAGGAUCGGCUAACUCCGUGCCAGCAGCCGCGGUAAUACGGAGGAUCCGAGCGUUAUCCGGAUUUAUUGGGUGUAAAGGGCGUGUAGCCGGGCUGACAAGUCAGAUGUGAAAUCCGGGGGCUCAACCCCCGAACUGCAUUUGAAACUGUUGG